rnacentral:rRNA from 1 species
GACUAACGCUGGCGGCGUGCCUAAUACAUGCAAGUCGAACGGUCAUGCAUUUGUAGCAAUAUGAGUGCAUGGUAGUGGCGAACGGGUGAGUAACACGUGGAUAACCUACCUUUAUGUGGGGGAUAACUCCGGGAAACUGGGGCUAAUACCGCAUGACAUCAUUCUGGGGCAUCUCAGGAUGAUCAAAGUCGUAAGACGCAAAAAGAUGGAUCCGCGUCCCAUCAGCUAGUUGCGGGGUAAUGGCCCACCAAGGCUUUGACGGGUAGCCGGACUGAGAGGUCGAUCGGCCACACUGGAACUGAGACACGGUCCAGACUCCUACGGGAGGCAG